CAAAUAAACUCCUGAAAUGCUAAGUGUGCCUCAGUUUAUCUUCUAACAGGAUCAAGACAUUGCCCGUUUGCUUCCGCCGCUCUGCCUUUGUCUGCUUCUCCUUCUGAAGUGUAUGGGGCAGCCGCAUUUGGACCGAUAGAGGUUGGGUUUGGCUGGGCCAGACUGAACUCAGGACUUCCAAUUAGUUUUGCCUGCUCCAUGGGUCUUCAGUCUGAGGCCCAGCCAAAGAGGCUGUGGCACCUUGGAGGUGAUCAUUUCAAGACUGAUCACAGGAGCUCACAAGGGGUUGUUUUGGUGAUAUUUUGGGGAACCAGCAUUCAGUAGCCUCAUUCUAAGGAUAUCACCACAAGGCUGCAAAAGGUGUCACCAGCUCCUUUAGAUUUAUGUUAUAAAAGCUGAGCAUCCCUACAAGAAAAGACAAUUUCUUGGUAGCUACAGAAAAUGUCCAAGGAAACACCAGGUGAGGACAUAGUGAGAUUGCAGUUUUCUGGAAGCCAGGAAGAGAGUUAUCACCAGAAAUGAAUCAUAGGAGCCUUGAUCUUGGGACUUCUACCCUCCAGAACUGCGAGAAAAUAAAUUUCUGUUGUUUAAGCCAUCCAGUCCAGGCCAUUUUGUUCUGG